GUCCUCUGACAAUGGGCUAAAAGACACCCUGUUGGUAUUGUUCUUAUAUCAGUCAGGGGCAGAGUAGAUGGCAGUCCUCUGUCCAUUCUAGCUUGAUGCCUGGCUUGAUGGCCAAAGCUGUCUUAUGCCUAGGACUCAUAA